rnacentral:rRNA from 1 species
AUUCCCUUAGUAACUGCGAGUGAAGCGGGAAAAGCUCAAAUUUGAAAUCUGGCAGUCUUUUUUUUCUUCUUUGGCUGUCCGAGUUGUAAUCUAGAGAAGUGCUUACCUGCACUGGACCAUGUAUAAGUCUCCUGGAAUGGAGCGUCACAGAGGGUGAGAAUCCCGUCUUUGACAUGGACCGCCAGUGUGUUGUGGUGUGCUCUCAAAGAGUCGAGUUGUUUGGGAAUGCAGCUCUAAAUGGGUGGUAAACUCCAUCUAAAGCUAAAUAUUGGCGAGAGACCGAUAGCGAACAAGUACCGUGAGGGAAAGAUGAAAAGGACUUUGGAAAGAGAGUUAAACAGUAUGUGAAAUUGUUGAAAGGGAAACGCUUGAAGUCAGUUAUGUUGGCUAGGGAUCAACCUAGCUGUUUUUUGCUGGGUGAAUUUCCUAGUCUGACAGGCCAACAUCAGUCUUGACUGCUGGAAAAGAGCAGAGGGAAUGUGGCACCUUUGGGUGUGUUAUAGCCUUUUGUCAUAUGUGGCAGUUGGGACUGAGGGAUGCAGCAUGCCGCGAGGCUGGGUUUCUGACCACGUUCAUGCUCAGGAUGUUGGCUUUUAAUGGCUUCAAUCGACCCGUCUUGAAACACGGACCAAGGAGUCUAACAUGCCUGCGAGUGUUUGGGUGGGGAAAACCCUUGUGCACAAUGAAAGUGAAAGUUGAGAUCCCUGUCAUGGGGAGCAUCGACGCCCGGACCUGAGCUUUUAGCGACGGAUCCGCGGUAGAGCAUGCAUGUUGGGACCCGAAAGAUGGUGAACUAUGCCUGAAUAGGGCAAAGCCAGAGGAAACUCUGGUGGAGGCUCGUAGCGAUUCUGACGUGCAAAUCGAUCGUCAAUUUGGGUAUAGGGGCGA